UACGGAGGGUGCAAGCGUUAUCCGGAUUCACUGGGUUUAAAGGGUGCGUAGGUGGGCAAGUAAGUCAGUGGUGAAAUCUCCGGGCUUAACCCGGAAACUGCCAUUGAUACUAUUUGUCUUGAAUACUGUGAAGGUCAGCGGAAUAUGUCAUGUAGCGGUGAAAUGCUUAGAUAUGACAUAGAACACCAAUUGCGAAGGCAGCUGGCUACACAAAUAUUGACACUGAGGCACGAAAGCGUGGGGAUCAAACAGG
rnacentral:rRNA from 1 species